AUGCCUAAGACGGCCGCUCCUCCCCAUCCCCAUCCCAACUCCAUCCCGGAGCCUCUGACCCACCCACCCGGCUCUCCGUGUGGACUGUUCGGCCCUCCACCCCUCCUCACCGCCGGGAGGCCCUGCCUGCCCCGGUGCGCCUCUUCCUCGGCACCGCCUACAGUCCCGGCUGAGCCCGGGCCCUCGGCCCGCGCAGGGGGACCCCACAGCCCGCCCAGCGCUCGGCGUACCCUCGGCCUCCCCCAGUCCCGGGCUGGCGCUCCCUGCCCUGACCCCGUCUCGGGCCCGGCCUGGCCCUCGCUAUCCCCGGCCUCUCCCCGGGUCCACUUGGGCCUCCAAGCCCCCUGGGCCGCCUCAGGAGCCGUCCGCCCCGGUCGCUCCUCCGUGCCCGUGGGCCUCUCCGUGCCCCGGCCGCCCGUCCAUGCUCCGUGGGCCCCGGCUCAGAUGCCGAACGCCCCGGCCGCCCCUCCAUGCCCCGGUUGCUCCUCCACGUCCCGGCCGCCCCUCCGUGCCCCGUGGGCCCCGCCUCAGGUGCCGCCCGCCCCGGAUCCCCUCCGACCCCGCUGGGCCCGCACAGGCGCCCCCCGUCCCUGCCGCCCCUCCGUCCAUCCGGGCCCUGCGUCCCCAGCCGCGCCGUCGCCCCGGCGGUGGUCCCCACCCUCCCUCCUCCCCGCUUCCGCACGGCCGCCGGACACUCACUACUCCUUGAGCAGCACCAUGUCGCUUCGCGGCUCGGUGGCUGCCCGCGGCCCGCCCGGCCUCCCGCCCGCUGCCCGCCGGCCGCUCUCCCCGUGGCCCGGCCCGGCCCGGCUGCCUGUGCGCCUUCGUCGUGGUCUGCUCCGUCCCCGCCGCCCUCGCCGCGGUCGCCGCGCCGGCUCCUGCCGCCCCGGCCUCGUCGCCUCUCCCGCCGCUGCCGACGCCGCCCGGAGCUCCGGUUCCGCAGCGCCGCGCGGGGGCGGGGCGUCUCUGCGGCAACCAGAGCGUCACACGCCGCGGUGCGCGCUGACGUCACGUGGGGCGGAGUCUUCCCGGGACCGCCCUCCCGUCCUUAAAUGGGCCGCGGCGCCGGCGUCGGUUCCGAGGUGGGGCCCCUUGGCGAGGGCCAGACCCGGCAGGAGGCGGAGCAGACUCCGGGGUGUCCGUCAGCGCCCUCGGUGUGAACCGCCACGGAUGCACGCUGGUGCUGGCUAA
rnacentral:lncRNA from 1 species